CAACUACUCCCUCUGUCCCAAAUUUUUUGUCUUAUAUUUGUCUAGAUACGGAUGUAUCAAUUGAUACAUCCGUAUCUAGACAAAUCUAAGACAAGAAUUUUGGGACGGAGGGAGUACUUU
rnacentral:pre_miRNA from 1 species